UCAUUGCAGCCUGGAAUAUUGAAGAACACCACUGGCAUUUUAUUGUCCAACGUCAGCAGACCAUGUGCCUUUUUAUGCUCCCAAUAAAUCCUACCUUGUUUAUCCCUCAAAAGAAUUUAUGAGGAAAAGAAUCUGAGGCUUAGAGAGGGUAAGGUCACAGACUUAGUAAGCGGCAGGGCCAGGAUGGAAAAUGAGGUGCCAAGGCUGAGCCAAGCUGGGAUGUGGAAGCCUUGAAGUAAAAUUCACCCAGAGAAAAGCUGAAUGAAGGGAUAACAUUGGCUUCAGGAGGCAGGUGGCUGGUGAUGGUAUUCUGUUGCCCUGGGCACAGCAUGGAAGAUUUUCAGCUAACUUUCUGCCAAACAGCUCCUACCUCCAUGAUGGACACAUGGGGCCAGGACAGGUGACUUACUCCUAAGGUGGCUUACCUUGAUAUUUCUGCAUUUGACUAGCUCUGGCUGAGAGUCAUUCUUGUAAUUCUAAUUCAAAAAAUGAGACCAAGCUUGUGAAUAUUUAGCUCCCCGGUUACUUGGUGAGUAUGUAGAGCAAUAUCCCUGAGAGAGAGAGAAGAGAGAAAAGAAGAGAACAGCAUGAACGUCUAGGAAGCUGGGUAAAGAUGAGCUCAGGCUGGCAAAGCCCAGAGGGUAAAAAGGGAGAGGGGACUGCAGGGUGGCGUCCUGCUCCUGAGUAGCUCUGGAGAACAGGGCUACCUUGCCCCGGCUUCUCUGAAUGCCCUCCUUGUUCUUUUUGUUGGGAUCUGGGGUCUUGGCAAUGAAUCAGCAACCAGGGCAGGGGAGCUGGGUUGGGCUAAGAUUGAGGUAGGGGCCUUGUUAGAAGCUUCCACAGGGAAUCUCUCUGGGAGCGAUUCUUCUCCAAGUGGUGUCCCUGGCUCUGCGGGCCGAUGGCUGAGAUAUCCUGGAGUCUGGUUUUUGAACCCUGAGCCUCAGACUCGAUCCCAUGAAGUUCAGUGGCCACACUCCUCCUGGGAAGCCUCAUCUGUUCCCAGGUUCAUUUUUCUUUUCUGUGUAAAGGUUCUUUGGGGCCUUCUCAGGGAGCCCAAUUCUUUUCUUUAUAUAUAUUUUAUAUUUUUAUUGAUUUCAGAGAGGAAGAGAGACAUAGAAACAUCAGCGAUGAGAGAGAAUUACUGAUUGGCUGCCUCCUGCAUGCCUCUACUGAGGAUCGAGCCCACACCCCCAGGCAUGUGCCCCAACUGGGAAUCAAACCAUGGCCUCCUGGUUCAUAGGUUGAUGUCCAACCACUGUGCUACACUGGCUAGGCUCAGGGAAUCCAAUCCACUGUGGUCUUGCCUCAGUGGGUGGCCUGUCUCCCCUUAUUCCUGACUGUAGGAUCUGUCCUCAAGGGUAGUCUUCACUCCAUCAAGAGGGAGGCAUGUGGCUCUGCGCACAUGGGUUUUGUCGCCUUUAACUCACUACCAGCCUGCGCGCAGCAUUUGGACCUCCCAGGGAUGACAAAGACAACCAUGAUAAAAACAACCAUGCUGCCCUGACCGGUUUGGCUCAGUGGAUAGAGCGUCGGCCUGUGGACUGAAGGGUCCCAGGUUUGAUUCCGGUCAAGGGCAUGUACAUUGGUUGCAGGCAC